AAGUUUCUAAGCAAAAUACAUUGUUCAUUCUCUCCCUCCCACUCCAUCUAGGCGCUCAUGCCUUUCUCAAAUUCUCUUUCUUUUUUCUUUUUUCUUUUUUUGUAAAUUUUUCUACAACUUUUUGUAAAUUUUUCUCAUAUUCUCUUUAAUUUCUCUCAUUAUGUACACAGAUUUGCACUAAACUCCUAACAAAUAUACACUAAAAUUUACAAAAAGUUGUAGAAAAAUUAAAAUAGAGAUGUCUGGGCUACUUUUUUAGUUAUGGUCUUCAAUGGGAUGGAGCUGUCAUUAAUUCUGGCCAUGUCGCAAAAUAGCUUUGAUAAUAUGGAAUGGAUGGGUCAUGGGUCAUGGGUCAUGGGUCUGGAAUCGGGUCGCUUAUGGAAAGGUAAUGGAAAUUUCAGAAACAAUUAUAUUUCUAGUAGAAUAUUGAGGUCAUUGUUUUAAUUUUUCCUCGUAGUUGUAGAAUCUAUCCAAUUAUAUUUCUUUUUCUUUUUUGUUUGGUGUUAACUCAAUUAAAUAUGACUAGCUUGAUUAAAUUACCAGGUUUAGCAAGUAAUUUCUUUUUCAUUCAACUAGAUACCCAGUUCUGGUUUAGUUCCAAAUUCCAAGUUUUUCAAUUCAUUUCACCAUUAUGUGAUGGUACUAUGCUUUUCUCGUUUUGAAAAAUGUUUGGCAGCAAUUAUAGUGUUUGGUGUCAUGGUUGAUUUGGUGUUUCAGUUUGGUUUUUAAUUUUUUUAUUUUAAAUUAAUUUUUUAAUAUUUUUAUUAUUUUGAUGUGUUAAUAUUUAAAAUAAAUUUAUAUAUAUAUAUUAUUUAAUAUGUUUUUAAGUAAA
rnacentral:lncRNA from 1 species